GGGGUUGUGGCUCAGUGGUAGAGCACUUGCCUAGCAUAUGCAAGGCACUGGGUUCAGUCCUCAGCACCACA
rnacentral:tRNA from 1 species